CCAAGUGGCGGGCGUGCCUAAUACAUGCAAGUCGAGCGGACAGAAGGGAGCUUGCUCCCGGAUGUUAGCGGCGGACGGGUGAGUAACACGUGGGUAACCUGCCUGUAAGACUGGGAUAACUCCGGGAAACCGGAGCUAAUACCGGAUAGUUCCUUGAACCGCAUGGUUCAAGGAUGAAAGACGGUUUCGGCUGUCACUUACAGAUGGACCCGCGGCGCAUUAGCUAGUUGGUGGGGUAAUGGCUCACCAAGGCGACGAUGCGUAGCCGACCUGAGAGGGUGAUCGGCCACACUGGGACUGAGACACGGCCCAGACUCCUACGGGAGGCAGCAGUAGGGAAUCUUCCGCAAUGGACGAAAGUCUGACGGAGCAACGCCGCGUGAGUGAUGAAGGUUUUCGGAUCGUAAAGCUCUGUUGUUAGGGAAGAACAAGUGCGAGAGUAACUGCUCGCACCUUGACGGUACCUAACCAGAAAGCCACGGCUAACUACGUGCCAGCAGCCGCGGUAAUACGUAGGUGGCAAGCGUUGUCCGGAAUUAUUGGGCGUAAAGGGCUCGCAGGCGGUUUCUUAAGUCUGAUGUGAAAGCCCCCGGCUCAACCGGGGAGGGUCAUUGGAAACUGGGAAACUUGAGUGCAGAAGAGGAGAGUGGAAUUCCACGUGUAGCGGUGAAAUGCGUAGAGAUGUGGAGGAACACCAGUGGCGAAGGCGACUCUCUGGUCUGUAACUGACGCUGAGGAGCGAAAGCGUGGGGAGCGAACAGGAUUAGAUACCCUGGUAGUCCACGCCGUAAACGAUGAGUGCUAAGUGUUAGGGGGUUUCCGCCCCUUAGUGCUGCAGCUAACGCAUUAAGCACUCCGCCUGGGGAGUACGGUCGCAAGACUGAAACUCAAAGGAAUUGACGGGGGCCCGCACAAGCGGUGGAGCAUGUGGUUUAAUUCGAAGCAACGCGAAGAACCUUACCAGGUCUUGACAUCCUCUGACACCCUAGAGAUAGGGGCUUUCCCUUCGGGGACAGAGUGACAGUGGUGCAUGGUUGUCGUCAGCUCGUGUCGUGAGAUGUUGGGUUAGUCCCGCAACGAGCGCACCCUUGAUCUUAGUUGCCAGCAUUCAGUUGGGCACUCU
rnacentral:rRNA from 1 species